UGGUGACACCAUAACUAUCAGUUCCUUUGUUCAUGGAAUCAAGAACCCAGUCGCUACUGGCUUUGACCCCAGCUCGAGCCGCCUCAGAGAGCUCAACCUUGACAUUGGAGUCACGGUUGGUAAUUGCUGUAACUUGGGCUAUGGUCAGGGUCUUACCCCCUAGCCUGAUCACAGGCUUCCUAUAAUCAUCCACCAUACGCUUCACCUCAUCAAGGUGGCUACCCUUUAGUGACUCUGCAGCCAUGCCCCAGUUCAAUGGGUCAGUAGCUCCAUUGUCCUGACAAAAUUCCAUUGUUGUUUGAUUUUCUAGGAAAGGUGUAAGAGUGGAGAGAAAGUGCGAGAAAAUGAGGUGUGUAUGUGAAAUUAAAGGUUAGGAAUUUUCAGGGGACC
rnacentral:misc_RNA from 1 species